rnacentral:tRNA from 1 species
GGAGAGACCGUGGCUCAGUGGUAGAGCAUCUGCUUAGCAUGCAGAAGAUUAAAUGCCAGGUUCAGUCCCUGGCAUCUUCA